rnacentral:tRNA from 1 species
GGAAUGUAGCUCAGUGGUAGAGCACUUGCCUAGCAUGCAUGAGACACUGGGUUUAAUCCUCAGCACCA